rnacentral:rRNA from 1 species
UUGCAUAUCAAAAAGCGGAGGAAAAGAAACCAACUGGGAUUACCUUAGUAACGGCGAGUGAAGCGGUAAAAGCUCAAAUUUGAAAUCUGGUACUUUCAGUGCCCGAGUUGUAAUUUGUAGAAUUUGUCUUUGAUUAGGUCCUUGUCUAUGUUCCUUGGAACAGGACGUCAUAGAGGGUGAGAAUCCCGUUUGGCGAGGAUACCUUUUCUCUGUAAGACUUUUUCGAAGAGUCGAGUUGUUUGGGAAUGCAGCUCAAAGUGGGUGGUAAAUUCCAUCUAAAGCUAAAUAUUGGCGAGAGACCGAUAGCGAACAAGUACAGUGAUGGAAAGAUGAAAAGAACUUUGAAAAGAGAGUGAAAAAGUACGUGAAAUUGUUGAAAGGGAAGGGCAUUUGAUCAGACAUGGUGUUUUUUGCAUGCACUCGCCUCUCGUGGGCUUGGGCCUCUCAAAAAUUUCACUGGGCCAACAUCAAUUCUGGCAGUAGGAUAAAUCAUUAAGAAUGUAGCUACCUCGGUAGUGUUAUAGCUUAUUGGAAUACUGCUAGCUGGGAUUGAGGACUGCGCUUCGGCAAGGAUGUUGGCAUAAUGGUUAAAUGCCGCCCGUCUUGAAACACGGAC